AACGAACGCUGGCGGCAUGCCUAACACAUGCAAGUCGAACGCUGAAGGAGGAGCUUGCUCUUCUGGAUGAGUUGCGAACGGGUGAGUAACGCGUAGGUAACCUGCCUGGUAGCGGGGGAUAACUAUUGGAAACGAUAGCUAAUACCGCAUAACAGUAGAUGUUGCAUGACAUUUACUUAAAAGGUGCAAUUGCAUCACUACCAGAUGGACCUGCGUUGUAUUAGCUAGUUGGUGGGGUAACGGCUCACCAAGGCGACGAUACAUAGCCGACCUGUGAGGGUGAUCGGCCACACUGGGACUGAGACACGGCCCAGACUCCUACGGGAGGCAGCAGUAGGGAAUCUUCGGCAAUGGACGGAAGUCUGACCGAGCAACGCCGCGUGAGUGAAGAAGGUUUUCGGAUCGUAAAGCUCUGUUGUAAGAGAAGAACGAGUGUGAGAGUGGAAAGUUCACACUGUGACGGUAUCUUACCAGAAAGGGACGGCUAACUACGUG
rnacentral:rRNA from 1 species